CUAUGUGGGGCGUUGAGCUCGGCGGCGGCGUCGCGCUCACCAGCUCCAGGAAUGGACUGACUUUCUAAGCCUCACCGCUGACAAACCCACUGUGUUGUUUCUCCGGGAGUCCUCGCUUGAAGGGACAAAACCGUUGAGAGUUGAAGUGCAGCCUGGGCAGAGAACUGGAGCUGAGUCUGGUCUGACUGAACACACUGAUUGGAUCCGAUCAGUCGCGAGACUUGUUUGUUGGCGUCGGACCGAACGGAAUUCAACUUAAACGAACCCGCAGACAUUUUGUUGUUUCUGACUAUUAGCCCGCUUUACCUCCUACUUUUUAAUACCGUCGUAGUUUUGAGCCGAAAGGACAGGAGCAAGCAGCCUUCAGGAGCCAGUAGAAGCCGAAGGGAAGGGAGCGUUACCCCGGACCCGCGGUGCUUCCAGCUCCAACCGCUGAGCUCGUGCGUGAAGGCGGAAAGCUGAACCAGCGAUGAAUCAUUUUGACUGACAGCUUUUGAAGAAUUAGCUAGCAUAGCCGGCGAGGACCCAGCAGUGAUGGUGCUUUCCUGUUGACACACUCAGUAAAUACGGGGUCGGGACAGGUACAGUGGCUGAAUGGUUUUGCAUCACCCCAACAACAGACCGAUUAGAUUACCUCUCUGACGGCUGCAAAGUGCAUCACUUCUAUUCACCUUUUUUUUUCUUUUUUAAAUUUGUUUUUUGGAAGGGGGGUUCGCUAGCUACAGUAAGCUAGUCAUCCUGCUAACGCUGGACAGCUCCAGUUAAAAGGCAGGGCUAGGCUUUGGACAAAGGACCAACGCAAGGAAAAAUAUAAACACAAGGCUCACAGUUCAUCGUGUUGAGGAGGAGAGCAACAAACAGGGAACUGACAUGAUGUUUCCACAAUCCAGACACUCAGCUUCAUCACAGCAGCUGAAAUUCACAACCUCUGACUCCUGCGACAGGAUCAAGGAUGAGUUCCAGUUUCUUCAAGCACAAUACCACAGUUUGAAGCUUGAGUGUGACAAGUUGGCCAGUGAGAAGUCAGAGAUGCAACGCCAUUAUAUCAUG